rnacentral:rRNA from 1 species
GCUACGGGGUGCAGCAGUGGGGAAUAUUGGACAAUGGGGGCAACCCUGAUCCAGCCAUGCCGCGUGUGUGAAGAAGGCCCUCGGGUUGUAAAGCACUUUCAGUGAGGAAGAACGCCUGGUGGUUAAUACCCAUCAGGAAAGACAUCACUCACAGAAGAAGCACCGGCUAACUCCGUGCCAGCAGCCGCGGUAAUACGGAGGGUGCGAGCGUUAAUCGGAAUUACUGGGCGUAAAGCGCGCGUAGGUGGCUUGAUAAGCCGGUUGUGAAAGCCCCGGGCUCAACCUGGGAACGGCAUCCGGAACUGUCAAGCUAGAGUGCAGGAGAGGAAGGUAGAAUUCCCGGUGUAGCGGUGAAAUGCGUAGAGAUCGGGAGGAAUACCAGUGGCGAAGGCGGCCUUCUGGACUGACACUGACACUGAGGUGCGAAAGCGUGGGUAGCAAACAGGAUUAGAUACCCUAGUAGUC